UACGGGAGGCAGCAGGGGGAAUAUUGCACAAUGGGCGCAAGCCUGAUGCAGCCAUGCCGCGUGUAUGAAGAAGGCCUUCGGGUUGUAAAGUACUUUCAGUCGUGGGGAAGGUGUUAAGGUUAAUAACCUUAGCAAUUGACGUUAGCGACAGAAGAAGCACCGGCUAACUCCGUGCCAGCAGCCGCGGUAAUACGGAGGGUGCGAGCGUUAAUCGGAAUUACUGGGCGUAAAGGGCACGCAGGCGGUUAAUUAAGUUGGAUGUGAAAUCCCCGGGCUUAACCUGGGAAUGGCAUUCAAGACUGGUUAGCUAGAGUCUUGUAGAGGGGGUAGAAUUCCAUGUGUAGCGGUGAAAUGCGUAGAGAUGUGGAGGAAUACCGGUGGCGAAGGCGGCCCCUGGACAAAGACUGACGCUCAUGUGCGAAAGCGUGGGGAGCAAACAGGGAUUAGAUACC
rnacentral:rRNA from 1 species